GAAGUCGUAACAAGGUAACUGUAGGUGAACCUGCAGUUGGAUCAUUAACGCAUAUCUACACCAGAAGGGUGCUCUUCGCAAGAGGGGUUAUCUGGACGGACAUUUUGUGAACCAUUGAAGUCUGUAAUUUUACCUUUUAUCAACACUUUACCGUGAAAAGGAAUAUUCUCAUGGAGGCAUUAACGUGCUUCGUCUAUUUUAAAAGCAAGCUUGCUUGCGAAAACUGUACAACUUAUAACAACGGAUACCUUGGCUA
rnacentral:misc_RNA from 1 species